AGCAGCCGCGGUAAUUCCAGCUCCAAUAGCGUAUAUUAAAGUUGUUGCAGUUAAAAAGCUCGUAGUUGAAUUUCGGGGUUAGUAGGCUGGUCAUGCCUCUGGUAUGUACUGGUCUCACUGAUUCCUCCUUCCUGAUGAACCUUAAUGCCAUUAAUUUGGUGUUUUGGGGAAUUUGGACUGUUACUUUGAAAAAUUAGAGUGUUUAAAGCAAGCUAACGCUUGAAUACAUUAGCAUGGAAUAAUGAAAUAGGACGUUCGAUCCUAUUUUGUUGGUUUCUAGGAUUGACGUAAUGAUUAAUAGGGAUAGUUGGGGGCAUUAGUAUUCAAUUGUCAGAGGUGAAAUUCUUGGAUUUAUUGAAGACUAACUACUGCGAAAGCAUUUGCCAAGGAUGUUUUCAUUAAUCAAGAACGAAAGUUAGGGGAUCGAAGACGAUCAGAUACCGUCGUAGUCUUAACCAUAAACUAUGCCGAC
rnacentral:rRNA from 1 species